CUUGUGUUAUCCUUUUUUAUAUUCAUCCAUGCUUUUCUGAUGCUCUUUUAUAGAGCUGUCCUAUGUCCAGAGGAGAUACUAUCAAGACACCCUAUGUUAUGUCGAAAUGGGCCCAACAACUUAAGACUUUACUCCAGUCGAAGUCGAGAUGCCAAGAGUUGUCCAAUGUCCAGAGGAGAUACUGUCAAUACACCCUAUCUUACGUCAAAAUGGGCCCAGCAACUUAGACUUAACUCCAGUUGAAGUCGAGAUGCCAAGGUUAGAGUUCUAAAUGUUUUAUUUUUCUCCUAAGUACUCCACAUUCAGUAGUUUUUCGCUUUCAGUUUGGGCUUAAAGCAAAAGAAGGGAACGUAACACUAAAGAUAUCCCUUACAACUGUCAUGUUUCUAUUAAAUUGAACUUUUGUUUUGUCACUUCAAAGGGGGCCAAGAGUGAUUGAAAUCACCUAAGGAACAAAAUUCCAACAACCCUCCUCCCUAAAUGGAGAUUUUUGGGUUUUUGGAAAAAAAAAAAAAAAUCAAUUUUCAUCAAAA